ACUCAAAGGAAUUGACGGGGAGCCGCACAAGCAGUGGAUGAUGUGGUUUAAUUCGAUGGUACACGAAGAACCUUACCGAGGCUUGACAUCCCUGGAAUCCCCAAGAAAUUGGGGAGUGCCGCAAGGAAUCAGGUGACAGGUGCUGCAUGGCCGUCCUCAGCUCGUGUCGUGAGAUGUUGGGUUAAGUCCCGCAACGAGCGCAACCCUUGUCGUGUGUUGUAUUUUUCACGCGAGACUGCCCGGGCCAACCGGGAGGAAGGUGGGGAUGAUGUCAGGUCUGCAUGGCCCUUACGCCUCGGGCCACACACGUCAUACAAUGGCCGAUACAACGCGUUGCUAAGCUGCAAAGUGGAGCUAAUCGCAUCAAAAUCGGUCCCAGUUCGGAUUGAGGGCUGCAACUCGCCCUCAUGAAGUCGGAAUUGCUAGUAACCGUGGGUCAGCAUACCACGGUGAAUACGUUCCCGGCUCUUGUACACACCGCCCGU
rnacentral:rRNA from 1 species